CUGGGAGGACCAUCUCCUAAGGCUAAAUACUCUCUAGUGACCGAUAGUGAACCAGUACCGUGAGGGAAAGGUGAAAAGCACCCCGGAAGGGGAGUGAAAUAGAACCUGAAACCGUGUGCUUACAAGUAGUCAGAGCCCGUUAAUGGGUGAUGGCGUGCCUUUUGUAGAAUGAACCGGCGAGUUACGAUUUGAUGCAAGGUUAAGCAGUAAAUGUGGAGCCGUAGCGAAAGCGAGUCUGAAUAGGGCGUUUAGUAUUUGGUCGUAGACCCGAAACCAGGUGAUCUACCCUUGGUCAGGUUGAAGUUCAGGUAACACUGAAUGGAGGACCGAACCGACUUACGUUGAAAAGUGAGCGGAUGAACUGAGGGUAGCGGAGAAAUUCCAAUCGAACCUGGAGAUAGCUGGUUCUCUCCGAAAUAGCUUUAGGGCUAGCCUCAAGUGAUGAUUAUUGGAGGUAGAGCACUGUUUGGACGAGGGGCCCCUCUCGGGUUACCGAAUUCAGACAAACUCCGAAUGCCAAUUAAUUUAACUUGGGAGUCAGAACAUGGGUGAUAAGGUCCGUGUUCGAAAGGGAAACAGCCCAGACCACCAGCUAAGGUCCCAAAAUAUAUGUUAAGUGGAAAAGGAUGUGGCGUUGCCCAGACAACUAGGAUGUUGGCUUAGAAGCAGCCAUCAUUUAAAGAGUGCGUAAUAGCUCACUAGUCGAGUGACACUGCGCCGAAAAUGUACCGGGGCUAAACAUAUUACCGAAGCUGUGGAUUGUCCUUUGGACAAUGGUAGGAG
rnacentral:rRNA from 1 species